UACACGCUGUGACUAGCAUAUCAAUAAGCGGAGGAAAAGAAACUAACAAGGAUUCCCCUAGUAACGGCGAGUGAAGCGGGAAGAGCUCAAAUUUGAAAUCUUAAAGGGUUUCCCUUUACGAAUUGUAGUUUAAAGAAGUGUUUUCUGUUGAGGUUUUGGUAAAAGUUCUUUGGAAUAGGACAUCAUAGAGGGUGAGAAUCCCGUAUUUGACCUUUACUUUCAACUUUGUGAUACACUUUCAAAGAGUCGGAUUGUUUGGGAAUGCAGUCCAAAAUGGGUGGUAAAUUUCAUCUAAAGCUAAAUAUUGGCGAGAGACCGAUAGCGAACAAGUACCGCGUGAGGGAAAGAUGAAAAGAACUUUGAAAAGAGAGUUAAACAGUACGUGAAAUUGUCAAAAGGGAAGCGUUUGACACCAGUGUUGUUUUUCUGAAAAUCAAUUAAAGAACUGUUUAUGCUAAGUUGUUUAGACUUUAUCAGCUAACUGUUUAGUUUUGAGCUUUUCUUUAAUGCACUUUUCAGUUAACAAGUCAACAUCAAUUUCUUUUGCUGUAAAAAAGCUUGAGGAAGGUGGCUUGAGAUUCGUCUUAAGUGUUUAUAGCCUCUUGCCUAUGCAGUCGGAGAGAUUGAGGUCUGCAGCGUAGAUCCUUCGGGGCUAAAUGCAUUUGUGCUAAGUUAUAGCAUUUUAUAGACAACUUGUUGACUAUGAUUUGUCUUGUAGCUUACUCGCUUAUGUUAUUUUACCUACGCUUAGGAUGUUGACGCAUGAGAUAUACGC
rnacentral:rRNA from 1 species